UUACUAUUUAGAUUUUAUUUACGAAUGACAUUAGUCCAUAAAUGUUAGCAUUCUACUCGUUUUCGUUUUAUUUCAGCAGGGUGAACGAUUAAUUUCGAACGGUUCAUUCACGACGAAGGAACACUUUGGGUAUUACGCAGCGGCUUUGAAUGAAACUUCCCAACUAGGUCGAGGCUCGAUUUCAGGCAGCGUUAUCUCAAGGCCUUGUUAUCUAAGAUGAAGGAAAAAUUAUUUUGUGUGACGAACUCUUGAAUUAAUCAUUUAAAGAGAAGUGAAUUAUGCAAAUAUAUACAUAUAGAUAAUUGCACAUGAAUAAGAAUUCAUCACAGGACAAAUAAACAAAUUACGCUUUAUAUGUUUUUCCUUAAAUUCAUUUCAAUUUACUAAUAUUUGUUCCUUUAUUCAAUGUUCACAAUAUAUCAAUUCUUGAGACAAUUCUUGACUUUUAAAUCGUAUAUCUUCAAUAAUGACUUUUUAUAAUCAAAUUAAAUUUUUCUUAUUUGAUUCAUACAUAACCUAUUGACGAUCUUCAACUUCCAUCUAGAAUUAUAUACAAAAAAUUCCUUCUUUAAAAUAUAUACAACAAUUUCUGUUAUUUAGAAUAUCAUGUUGAUUAGUCUAUUAUUAUAAUAAUCACUCUAAUUUUUGAUUAAAUUGAAUAAUUUUAUCGAAAUCCGUUUUACGGAACUGUUGAAAACUAAACUUCAAGGUGAUAUGAACAUAUAUUGCGUGCAGAAAGUCCGUUGACGCAUUGCAGAAGAACAAAAUUGUCGAGAGGUCAGCAAAACGAGCGAAAAGAGGUAAAGCAGAGUAUAAAAAAGAAAUGAAAAAAAGAAAAGAAAA